UCAGGACGAACGCUGGCGGCGUGCCUAAUACAUGCAAGUCGAGCGGACCUCAUAAGAGCUUGCUCUUAUGAGGUUAGCGGCGGACGGGUGAGUAACACGUGGGCAACCUGCCCUGUAGACUGGGAUAACUUCGGGAAACCGGAGCUAAUACCGGAUAAUCAAUGACACCACAUGGUGUCAUUGUAAAAGUUGGGAUACUAACACUACAGGAUGGGCCCGCGGCGCAUUAGCUAGUUGGUGAGGUAACGGCUCACCAAGGCGACGAUGCGUAGCCGACCUGAGAGGGUGAUCGGCCACACUGGGACUGAGACACGGCCCAGACUCCUACGGGAGGCAGCAGUAGGGAAUCUUCCGCAAUGGACGAAAGUCUGACGGAGCAACGCCGCGUGAGUGAUGAAGGCCUUCGGGUCGUAAAGCUCUGUUGUUAGGGAAGAACAAGUACCGUUCGAACAGGGCGGUACCUUGACGGUACC
rnacentral:rRNA from 1 species